UUUGUUUAUUAUGAGCACUGUGGAGAAGAUCCAAGAUUGAUUAUCGUCACGAUGCAGCCAUGUAUGACGAUCUAUGCUGAGUCUAUGUAGAGGUUCUCCACGGAAAUAAUCCCUCCAGUCGACUGCACUGCUGCAACAACGUGCGCCUGGGGGAAUCAGUUUAACCGAACAGGAGCUUGACAAGGCCCAGGUGCUGUGAUCAGAAAUGGGGAAUGGUGGUGAAGAAGGUCCCGAGGUCCUCAAGAUCCUCGCAGUCUAAGCGGAUAGUGCUAUGUGCCGUCAACUAAAAGGACUGCAGACAGACGCUCUAACACACAGAGCCAUAAAUCAGGAAGGGACCAGGCUCGUGUUCACUGGCGGCGAUGAGAGCGCUGUGUAGAGGAGGGCGAAGGAGGAGAGGCCAGGAAGCGGGCGCUCCCCACACCCCAGGCCGAGGAUGGGUUCUCACCACCAACACAGGCGGCAGCAGGAAAAAUGGCCAACCAAUGUUAUAGAAUAUACAGUGAUGCCUCGGUUCAUGAACUCAAUUCUCACCAUGUUUCUGGUCACAAACCUAACUGGAUGAGAACCGAAUGACAUUUCCUCAUAAGAUCAACAUUGAACCUAACCACUGAAUUUGAUUCGGUUCUCUUCCAACUCAGUAAAUAAAACAAAAGCAACAAAUGUUGAACGAGGCCAGCUCUAUGUACAGAUCACCACUUGUCCCCAGGAUCCUUCUCCUCUGCUCUUGUCCUAGACCAUCGAACCUACCUGGGUACAUGGCUAACUGCAUGAAGGUCACGUUCUCA
rnacentral:lncRNA from 1 species